UACGAAGGGUGCAAGCGUUAAUCGGAAUUACUGGGCGUAAAGCGUGCGUAGGUGGUCUUUUAAGUCCGUUGUGAAAGCCCUGGGCUCAACCUGGGAAUGGCAGUGGAUACUGGAAGGCUGGAGUACGGUAGAGGAGGGUGGAAUUCCCGGUGUAGCGGUGAAAUGCGUAGAGAUCGGGAGGAACAUCAGUGGCGAAGGCGGCCCUCUGGACCAGUACUGACGCUGAGACGCGAAAGCGUGGGGAGCAAACAGG
rnacentral:rRNA from 1 species